rnacentral:tRNA from 2 species
CGGGAUGUGGCGCAGUCAGGUAGCGCACAAGUCUGGGGGACUUGGAGUCGCUGGUUCGAAUCCAGUCAUCCCGACCA